GGACAUGUUUCAGUAUAGGCUGGUGUACAAUAUUAUUGCAGUAUUAAAAUGCAGUGAGGUUAGUCGUGGUUGCAAUAAAUUAAUUACAAAACUUAAAAAUAACGCAUCAAUAAAAGUAAACUACGGAGAUCGUAUCUAUUUGCAGAUGUUUGUAGUUAGGAGUGUGAACGUAUUGCAGUAAAAUAUGGCAUACGAUAAUAUUGCAGGAGAAUAUUGCAUGAAGGUUGGACGCAUUUGCAUAGAUGUGCUCAAUGAACUCAAAACUAACGAAAAAAUAAAAUAUGUAGGACUAUUAGUGGUAAAUUCAGGAACCAGCAUUAAUACUAGUUUAAAUACAUGAAAAUUAUGAACGCAUACCUUAUAGACCUUACUAAUAAUUGGUAUGGAAUUGUGUGGGAUUUGGUAUGUAAGAAAUCUCAUGGUUUCAACAGUGCCUCAGGCCCAUCUGCUAUCCAAAUUAUAUAAGCUUGGGAAGAAAUUCCUGUUGCAAAAGCUCAAUGCAGCGUAAUAAGUCAUAUAUGUAAAAUGCCAAGUUAGCCUUGGAAGCGUGUAUCAGUACAUGGUGUAUCGCUUAUGUAUGUCUGAUUGUAAAUUUUCCUUUGCUCUAUCCUUUUUCCUGUAUGUGUUUUCUAAAAAAGAAAGGGUGUAAUACUAAGAACUAAAUCAAUAUACAAGGUUACAGUUGUGAACAUUGUGCCUUAACGUGCGAGAAGAAGGAUACAGCGCAUGGGCAGCCCGCAUGUUAGUCGCCACCUGUGAGCCAAUGGUUGCUGGUAAUUUGUUGUGUGACAAAAGCAAUGUCAUUAACUAGGCUGUAUGAUCUACCCUAUUCUGCUGUUGGGGUUGUGGAUCCACAGCUUAGACUAUAUGUUAGGUUUGUAGCGUGCAUAUCUCCCGCUAGAGAUUCUGACAGUUAUAAUGCAAUAAAAUAAAAUGAAGGGAAAAAGAAAAAAAAAGGGUGGGAAUAGUGCCCCCAAAAGUGAGUAGGGGCCUGUGGAAUAGGGCCCAAAGUGAAGAUUGCUAGUUAGGUCUGCUUGUGAACUCCAGGGAUUUUGGUCCA